AUGUAGAAGGAGUAACUAUCAGGGGCGAACAAUAUACGGUGUCUGCUUAUGCAGACAACAUUCUCCUAACACUAACCAACCCGGACCACUCCAUAGAUGCCCUAUUAAAAACCAUACACGAAUACGCAUUGGUCGCAGGAUACAAGUUGAACCUGGGAAAAUCAGAAAUUCUACCCAUCCAGCUCUCCGAGUCACAACUAAACGCCCUAAAAAGCAAAUACCCAUUCCGAAUAUGCCCCACAGCCAUAACCUAUUUGGGAAUCCAGUUACCAGCCGACUUAACCACCUUAUAUGCGAAAAACUAUACACCGUUACUUCGCAUCGCACAC